UACAGAGGGUGCAAGCGUUGUUCGGAAUUAUUGGGCGUAAAGGGCGCGUAGGCGGUGCGGUAAGUCUGUAGUGAAAUCUCUGGGCUCAACUCAGAGUCUGCUGCAGAAACUGCCGUGCUUGAGUGUGGGAGAGGUGAGUGGAAUUCCCGGUGUAGUGGUGAAAUGCGUAGAGAUCGGGAGGAACACCUGUGGCGAAGGCGGCCCCCUGGGCCGGCCCUGACACUGAGACGCGAAAGCUAGGGGAGCAAACAGG
rnacentral:rRNA from 1 species